rnacentral:rRNA from 1 species
GACGAACGCUGGCGGCGUGCUUAACACAUGCAAGUCGAGCGAUGAAGUUCCUUCAGGAAUGGAUUAGCGGCGGACGGGUGAGUAACACGUGGGUAACCUGCCUCAUAGAGGGGAAUAGCCUUCCGAAAGGAAGAUUAAUACCGCAUAAGAUUGCAGUAUCGAAUGAUAUAGCAAUUAAAGGAGUAAUCCGCUAUGAGAGGGACCCGCGUCGCAUUAGCUAGUUGGUGAGGUAAAGGCUCACCAAGGCGACGAUGCGUAGCCGACCUGAGAGGGUGAUCGGCCACAUUGGGACUGAGACACGACCCAGACUCCUACGGGAGGCAGCAGUGGGGAAUAUUGCACAAUGGGGGAAACCCUGAUGCAGCAACGCCGCGUGAGUGAUGACGGUCUUCGGAUUGUAAAACUCUGUCUUCAGGGACGAUAAUGACGGUACCUGAGGAGGAAGCCACGGCUAACUACGUGCCAGCCGCCGCCGUAA